rnacentral:rRNA from 1 species
UACGGGGGGGGGCAAGCGUUGUUCGGAAUUACUGGGCGUAAAGGGCGCGUAGGCGGCCUUCUAAGUCAGACGUGAAAUCCCUCGGCUCAACCGAGGAACUGCGUCUGAUACUGGAAGGCUUGAAUCCGGGAGAGGGAUGUGGAAUUCCAGGUGUAGCGGUGAAAAUGCGUAGAUAUCUGGAGGAACACCGGUGGCGAAGGCGGCAUCCUGGACCGGUAUUGACGCUGAGGGCGCGAAAAGCUAGGGGGAGCAAACGGGG